rnacentral:rRNA from 1 species
GCGAGUGAAGCGGCAACAGCUCAAAUUUGAAAGCUGGCCUUCGGGUCCGCAUUGUAAUUUGUAGAGGAUGCUUUGGGGCAGCCGCCUGUCUAAGUUCCUUGGAACAGGACGUCAUAGAGGGUGAGAAUCCCGUAUGUGACAGGACAUGGCACCCUAUGUAAAGCUCCUUCGACGAGUCGAGUUGUUUGGGAAUGCAGCUCUAAAUGGGAGGUAAAUUUCUUCUAAAGCUAAAUACCGGCGAGAGACCGAUAGCGCACAAGUAGAGUGAUCGAAAGAUGAAAAGCACUUUGGAAAGAGAGUUAAAAAGCACGUGAAAUUGUUGAAAGGGAAGCGCUUGCAAUCAGACUUGUUUUGACUGUUCGGCCGGUCUUCUGACCGGUUUACUCAGUCUGGACAGGCCAGCAUCAGUUUUGGCGGCCGGAUAAAGGCCUAGGGAAUGUGGCUCUCGCUUCGGUGGGAGUGUUAUAGCCCUGGGUGUAAUACGGCCAGCCGGGACUGAGGUCCGCGCUUCGGCUAGGAUGCUGGCGUAAUGGUUGUAAGCGACCC